rnacentral:lncRNA from 1 species
AGCUACACAACUGUACGAACCAGCACAAUGAAGGAAUACAGAAAGAGAAUGAAGGGCCAUACAAAAAGUCAGGGGCGAACUUUGGAGACCAGAGAUCCGAGCAGCAAGAAACGAUGCUUAAGAUCUACAAAUACUGCAGGUAAUUUAGGUAGCUCAGGACUGGGAAAGGGAAAACAACGCACAAAACAUGGAAUUACUUCCUGCCCACUGCCCCGUCAACUCCAACUCCGACAAGAUUUCCUGCCAAAAAGUCUGAAUUCAAGAGAAACUGCACCACGAAAUUUUAAAGGUUACAAUAGAGAAUUUUUACUUAAAACAGAUGAUGAUCGGAUUGUGAAGUUUGAGGAAGGGGGAACCUCUGUAACUUACAUGUCGGAAAAAGAAGGUAAAUUCUAUGUUGAAUGUGACAAUGAGAGAGACUGGUUGC